ensembl:lncRNA
CACCAGGCCGAGUGUGUAUUCAUCGCACAUAUUCUUUGACCCCAGAGAGCAUCAGUCCACUCCCUUUCUCCCUUUCCUCCCAACCGAGCCCCCGCUCUGAUCUAUUCCGGGGGGUGUUGUGGCUAGGAGGGUGUGUGAGUGCGUUUGCAGCCCUGCCCAGUAAAAUACAGACUUUCCAAGGAAGUCGGCAAUAUAAUAUGGCCGCUUUAUUAUGUUUCACCACACCAGGCGGCUCUAUCAGCUGGAUGCGAGUCCCCCUCGACAUUACAACCUGUCAAGAUUCCGCCGCCGUCGCACUGGAUGAAGUGUGAGAAAGGAGUUUGGGCACAAGGGAACAGAAGCAGACUGUUUGUGUCUAAAAACAAAUGUCUGUCCACUGCGCCCAAGCCAUAAUAAAGUCUGAGCUGCCCCAGCGAGGGAUCGCUUCCUGUCUGCUGUCACAGGGAGCGUGGUAACGGCGUUGUGACGGUGUGUCUUCACCCAUUGGGUCCAACUUGCACUGUAUUAAGAAGUAAGUAACCCGAACGCAUUAUUGCAUUCAUCCUUUUUGGUCAUGAUGGCAAUGAUGCAUUUCAAAGAUAUUUCUUUGUGAUCUGAUCAGCAAACAAACGUCUGUAUGGAGCCAAAUCCAGGUCAAAAGUUUUGUUCAUUUGAAAAACAAAUGUGAACCUAAAAGUUUAGGUUUUGUAUUUGAACGUUGAAAAAUACAACGCUGUAUUCAAAAUAAAAAUAAGUGAAAAUAUAAAAUCUGCAACCGAAAAAUAUAAUACAAUCAUAAAAGAAAUGUGAAGAUUGAAAAAGAUUGAAAAAGAAAUAUAGAGCUGAGUCAAAACUAUAUUCGUCCUGAAAAUAUUUUUCGUUUCUUAAA